rnacentral:rRNA from 1 species
UUCCGUGACGCAGCUAACGCAUUAAGUUCCCCGCCUGGGGAGUACGGCCGCAAGGCUAAAACUCAAAGGAAUUGACGGGGACCCGCACAAGCGGCGGAGCAUGCGGAUUAAUUCGAUGCAACGCGAAGAACCUUACCAAGGCUUGACAUAUAGAGGAAACGUCUGGAAACAGUCGCCCCGCAAGGUCUCUAUACAGGUGGUGCAUGGUUGUCGUCAGCUCGUGUCGUGAGAUGUUGGGUUAAGUCCCGCAACGAGCGCAACCCUCGUUCUAUGUUGCCAGCACGUAAUGGUGGGAACUCAUGGGAUACUGCCGGGGUCAACUCGGAGGAAGGUGGGGAUGACGUCAAAUCAUCAUGCCCCUUAUGUCUUGGGCUUCACGCAUGCUACAAUGGCCGGUACAAAGGGCUGCAAUACCGUAAGGCGGAGCGAAUCCCAAAAAGCCGGUCCCAGUUCGGAUUGAGGUCUGCAACUCGACCUCAUGAAGUCGGAGUCGCUAGUAAUCGCAGAUCCAGCAACGCUGCGGUGAAUACGUUCCCGGGUCUUGUACACACCGCCCGUCAAGUCAUGAAAGUCGGUAACACCUGAAGCGGUGGCCCAAC